GAUGAACGCUGGCGGCGUGCCUAAUACAUGCAAGUCGAGCGAACGGACGAGAAGCUUGCUUCUCUGAUGUUAGCGGCGGACGGGUGAGUAACACGUGGAUAACCUACCUAUAAGACUGGGAUAACUUCGGGAAACCGUAGCUAAUACCGGAUAAUAUUUUGAACCGCAUGGUUCAAAAGUGAAAGACGGUCUUGCUGUCACUUAUAGAUGGAUCCGCGCUGCAUUAGCUAGUUGGUAAGGUAAUGGCUUACCAAGGCAACGAUGCAUAGCCGACCUGAGAGGGUGAUCGGCCACACUGGAACUGAGACACGGUCCAGACUCCUACGGGAGGCAGCAGUAGGGAAUCUUCCGCAAUGGGCGAAAGCCUGACGGAGCAACGCCGCGUGAGUGAUGAAGGUCUUCGGAUCGUAAAACUCUGUUAUUAGGGAAGAACAUAUGUGUAAGUAACUGUGCACAUCUUGACGGUACCUAAUCAGAAAGCCACGGCUAACUACGUG
rnacentral:rRNA from 1 species